AGAGCAGUGAUUGGUCAGACCAUAGAUAAUAUAGAAGACAGCGCUCUAGCGGAUCUAGUCUGCUUUAUAUCUAUGGUCGGAACGUCUGGUAGCAUCUCUGACUGCUGUUGAUCUUGUUUUUGGAGUAAAACACGGUGGAAGCUGAAUUAGUGAGGAUGACUCCUGCUCCUGUCAUCUCUAAGCUCCUCACACAUCUUUACCUGCACAUGAGGAAAAUCACUCCUGUAGAAUGCAGUGGUUCAUCAGAACCUCUGGGGAUGUCCUGUGGAUCCUGUGGAUCCUGUGGGUUGCAGGGUGGGUCCUACCUAGACCAGGCUGAUCCUGGACCAUCCCACAGAUGCUCAAUCAGAUCUGGAUGUGGGGAGUGUGGAACCCAGGUGAACAGCUUAGCUCUGUCGUGUUCCUCGGACCACUCCUGAGCAGUUUUAAUUUGUCCUGCUGAGGGUGGCAGCUGGCAUCAAGGACUGCUGUUGCCAUGGAGACUAGGGGGUUGUUUGUCCUGCAGUGUUUAGGUGGUGGUACAUGUCAAACAUCCACAUGAACGUCAAGGUUUCCCAGCAGAACGUUGCAUUAGAACAAGAUGAUGGAUGUUGUUCUCUUCAGCUGUCAGUGGUCAGAAUGUUGUGGCUGAUCGGUGGAUCUGUCUGCCUUUACUCUGACAUCCAGAGUUAUACAAAAGUGUAGUAUGUGUGCAGUGCAGAAGAGAUUUACUUUAUUGUAUGCAGUUUUAGUGGUUCCAUCAGAGAAAAUCGUAUCCAUAUACAGAUUUUUAUUAAUUCCAGGGCUGGUUCAGUAAAGAUUAUAAUAAUAAAUAUAUCAGAUAAUUCUUUGUCGCAGUUGGAAUUUUGCAGCCUGAGAGAUGGUUGAGAAGGUUUGCAGUUCUUGUUUUAGCAAAAUAUGUUAUAAUAGAAGAUCUUUAUUGUCAUUGUACAUGAAAUUAUCUGCAAACCAGCAAAGUGCAUCAGUCUGAGGUAUGUAAAAAUAGAUAAAGAAAAAUGCUUCUAAAGCCAAUAAUAAACAGAAUAUUUUGAGGGAAUAUUCUAAAAAGGAAAGAAAAGCUCCAUUCUCACUCCUCUCAGGAUAAACUGUCAUUAAAAUUGACUUUAAAUUUAGCUUCAACACGAGAUAAAAACAUUUACUUUCAUUACUGAUGUUGUCAAGUUUUAAUAAAGUUCAUGCUACUUUUAUAAAAUGAUGAAAGUGAAUAAAUUGUAUUUCUGUGAUCUGUGUUUGAUUUCUGUCUUUUCUCCUGUCAUCCAGAUGUUCAGAGGGAGAUGAUGCCACAUCUGGUCCAGCUGAUGGAAGGUCUUGAAGUUCUCUGACUGGCCUCGACUGAAGAUGGUCGUCUCACUGGAUUUAAGGUUCAGAUGCUCAGUAACAAACUCCACCAAUGUGCCAACAGGGAAGCUUUAGGUUUAUUAAAUGUUGCUAUGAAGGUUUCGCUGUUUUUCUUAGUGAAUGCAAUGUGCUCCAACUGAAACUUGAAUUAGAACUUAGAAGUAAAUCAUUUCAUCUGAAAGGAUUUAGUUGCAUUAAUAACCUCAUAACAUUCUAAUUUUUAUUCCAGUCUUGGUUGGAAAUAGAAUCUCUGUAUUGAUUCAGGUAAAAACUGAACUUCACAGCAUGUUGGAGCAAAACAACCAGAUGAAAACUGUGAUGGUGUUGGAUUGUCAGACCGUAAUGUUGCAGCUCAAAGCAGCUUUUCUAGCUCAGUUCAUUCUGACAUUCAGCUAUGAAUCAACACAGCAGAUGGUGAUCCAUGCUGUGGAAGUCUCACAUCUCCUGAUUUAAUGGAGCUGCUUUGCACUUUUUACACUGUUUAUUCACCAACACUUUAUUUAAUAAAAGUCCCAUCUAGUUUUUAUGAGGAAUGUGAUGUUUUAAUUUCUCUGUGAAUAACUGCAGUCUAAUGCAACAGCUGGAGUUGUAACAUCUGUCCUGAUAUUGAUCAUGAAGUAUUGAUCAGAAUACUUAUGGUCAGCAGUCAUCCCUGAAGUUUUACAUUAAAAUCUUUACUUGUGUUGUGAACUUUGGUAAGAAGCAGAAACUUUAGCGUUGCCAUGGAUACAUGAGUGUUAAAUUCUGUCCAUGUUUCCAUUUUGGGAAAUUCAGUCCAGUUCCAGAAUGUGGAGGAAUUUAGUCUCAUCAUCACAGACAACAAAUAUUAUCUGAAAGUCGGGUUAUUGUUGUUUAUCAGCACAAUACAAAAAGAUUAAUGUUAGAAAUAUUCCAGUUAAGACUCUAGAAUAUCAUGAUUUAUGUAAAUUUACCUCAAUAAUAUGAAUGUUCAGGUUAAGAUUGUACAGUGAUAUUUAUUAUGUAAGUUUAGCUGAUUAAAGUUUGACUCUGCACUAAAAUAUUAUUUAAACUGACAUCAUUAUUAUAAUAUUUAGAGUCACACCCUACAGUAUUGAGAUCAAGAAAUCAAAUAUUCUAUAAAAUGUAAAUACACUGAACUCAUUUGGAUAUAUUUAAGUGAGACUCUACAAUAUUAUUUGACACAAAUCUAUCUAAAACAAAAUUUUAAUAAUUUUCAUGCCAAACAUUUACUGGACUGAUUAAAAUAUUAAAAUCACUCCUUUCUAAUCCUCUGCUGUACGUUCAAACCUGAGGCCUGAAAUAGAAGCACACAAGUAUCUGUUUGAAGGAACUUCUGCAGAGUCCUGGUUCCAGAACAUGAUGAUAGAAUUAUAGACAAACUUUAACAAAAGCUGACUGAGAGUUUACAGGUUUUUAUGUUGGAUUUCUUCAGUAAUUUAAUGAGCGUUAUCAGCAAAAAUCAAGUGUUCAUUUGAUGAACUUCAUUUCCUAAAACAUGCAGAAUUGGAGCUCAUAUCUUUGGCUGCUGUAAAGUUUCUGCUCCUUCAAAGUUCACAACACAAUGAAUUAAUUCCUAAAACACUCUCAGUGCUGGAGAGCGUUUGUGAUGCUGAAGCAGUGAGCAGUUUUUCUGUUUCUUCUCUGGAGAUGCACAAGGAGGGACGUCUGCAGAGACUGAGAAAGAAUCUCACCACAUCCUGACAUGAUAAAAAAAGACUUUAUUGAAGACUACAAUGAGAAAAACUAUCAGACAGCAGACGGCUGCAUUCAAGGUGAGAUCUGAACAUUUGAUCUGGAACAGGAAUUCAAUCACGGCAGCAUGAGCUUCAUUUCAGUCUGUAGCUACUGAAUUCAUGGAUGAAUCAUCUGGCACUAGAGAGGAAGACCAUCAAACAUCCACGUCAGCUGAUGGAGGUCCAAGAGUCUCACCCAACAAACAACCUACAGAGUGAAGACCUCAAAUCUGAUUGGACGGCCUCCUAUUCAGCCACAUUUUAGGCUGUUAGAUUGUUCCAGAUAAGACAAGUACAAGAUUCUUCAGAGCCGUUCUACCAUGAGCCUGACAGGAAGAACUCCAACAGCUACUGAAUGUUCCUGUGGUUCCCUCAAGGCUACAGGAGGAGCCCUACGAGGACGAGCCGGUCCACCUGAUGGUGGCCAGUCGCUGUGGUUCAAAGCCAACACCGACUACGUGGACUUCUACUGGACCACACGGAGGCCUUCAAACCGGACCAACAAGUUCACCGACUCCCCGACUCGUGGGUCUGAGGAUGCCGCCGAGCCUCGGUCCAGCCGGCCUCCUGUCUGUGGGUGUUUGAGUGCUGAGAGGUUUGUGGAUGCAUGUGAACAUUCUGUGUUGAAACAGCAGCUUUGGACUCAGUAACGCCAGGAAAAACCAAGAGCUCCUUUAUUUGUGACUUCCACUAAAAAAACUGAUGAAAAUAAGUUUGCCAGGGUUCUGACUGAUAACAGAUUAUUAAAUAAUGAAAAUAAUCAUUUAAAUAUUCCUUUAAACAAUCCUUUUAGGUCUACAUUUCCUUUACACUGACUUCUUGGUAUAUGUACAAGUAUUUUGGGUGGAAUAUACCAUUAAGCCUAAUGUUCAAGGGUUUUUCUGGGAAUAUACCAUUAAACCAACAUUUUAGGUAAAUGUUCCAGGAUGUUGGGUAGAAUAUACCAUCAGAUAAACCUUUUAGGUCUACAUUGGAAGAUUUUAGAGUAGAAUAUUACUCCAAACCAUCCUUUAGGUCUACAUUUAAGGUGGAAUACUCCUUUACACCAAGAUUUUUUGGUCUCGGAUUUUGGAUGGAAUACUUGGUUAAACCAACCUUUUAGGUCAACAUUCAAAGAUUUAAGGUGGAAUAUUCCUUUAAACCAACCUAAAUUUCAUGUUUUGAUCAUUAUCAAGUGAGAAACCUCAAUCCAGACUCCUCAUAAUGACGUUUGAGAUUUAUGCUGCUGUUAUUUGUUUAGUCCAGACUAAAUGACAGAAAUCCACAACUGUAAUUUUAUUUCAGGACUCGGUUAUUAAAUGUCAAAACAAUCCAUGUGACUCUAAAAACUCAACAGCUUUACAAACUCUAACAUUAAACUCUCUACACGGAUCCAAAAUAAGUUGGACUUCUACAUGAGAGCUUCAAUUAUUCUUCAUCUACUUCCUGAAAAGUUUGGUCAAUAAAAAAGACAAAAACUAAUAUUUUCAGCUGAACUAAAGACAGACUGUGAUUUUUCUCCUCACAUGUUGUGUUGUUGUAAACUUACUCUUUCAAAUAAAUAGCCGCCUAACCCCCUGGAAACCAGCGUUUGUCCUGUUUUUGUGUUGCUCCUCGGCGACCCUAGACAGCCGGGUUGUAAUGUUUUUUGAGCAACACACCAUACUAUGAUGUUUUUACAAUGAUGGUUCUACUAUGGAACCAGUUUGACAUGUUCAGGUGUUCUUUGUGUGAAAACUCAGAGAUUUCAGGUAUCAGAAGGUGGUUUUCAACUUUCUUUGUUAAGUUUCUGCCUCAACUUUAAAUUUCCUUCACUAAGCCAGCCCUCUGGACUUCCAGUAAGCUGUGUUCCUAUUGGCUGUCCAGGUGGCUGCUUGGUGUUAUCAGGAACACCUGAGCAGCUCAGUGUCUUCCUGCUUUAUUUAGCUGCAGACAAACAUUUCCUCUGCUUCUAUUCACCACUGAACUGGGUUUGGCUCCAUUGCUUUAGUUUGUUUUUUAGGCGUUGGCUUGCAGCUUCCAGCAGUAAAAUCCUCUUUAAUGUGUUUCUUGGUGUGUUUUAGGGCUUUGUACUGGAUAGUUGUCUUGGUAAAUGUGGUUCUUUAGCCACAGUUAGCACAUGGUGCUAAUGUGUGCAGUGAUUAGUGGAUUUGGUGCAGCUGAGUUGUGUCUUUAUCUUGGCUGUAGUGAGUCUUUAGAGGUUUUUGGUCAGACACAUUCUGUAUUCUUGUUUGUGAACCAGCGUUGGUUGUCCAGAAGGUAAGAGUUCCUGUCCUGAUUCUCUGUUCUCAGAGGUUCUCUGGUAGGCUGCAGGAGACUUUAGCAUUUGGGUUGUGCUAAUUUGGUUUUUGUACGGUUCCAUUUGUACGACUAUCUUGAGGCCCCUCCAUGUGGUUUAGUGAGGUUUUCUGGAACAGUUCUACAAAGCAACCUGCAGCAGAAGAGACUUUGAGAGUUUUUAGGAAGUUCUGGAGACCAGACUUUAGAGCAGCAGAAACAUUUGUCAGCAGUUAGAGCAGGAGAAGGUGAGCUUCAGAGUAGAAAUGAGACAGAAACCUUCUUGACCCGUGUGGUGAGGUCCUGUACCAAGAGUUUGAGCAGGUUGUGAAGAGUCUGUAGUUCUUUGGUCUGAAAGCACAAGAAGAGUCGACUCAUUAAAGGAGAAAACAGGAGAUAUUGUUGGUUCUUCUGUCGCUCUGCAGUUUCCUUAGACUGAAUAUCAAGUUAAUAUUUUAAAUGAUUUCCCAUGUGAGCCCAAGAAGACUUCAAUAAACUCCAUCCA